AGAAGCACAGCACCUGUGAAGCUUUCGGAAAUUAUCCCUCUGGCUCCAGCCCUUUCUAGAGACCUCCAGGCACAUCUCUGCAUGAAGGUUUCAGAGUCACUGGGUUUCCCAGGGCCUUCUCUUUGCUAGGAAUCUCUGAGACGCGCUCUGCAAGAUAAGUUGGCAGCAUCUCUGUGCCUCUGGUUUUGCCAGGCUCCACCAACAACCCGCUAAGAACUCUUCGUCCUCAAGUACACUGAGGGGAACCCCAGUGAAGGCCAAUGAGGGAAACCACACAUCACUGAGGGCCGACGGAGGCCCCCAAAGCCCAAAUCGCUGUGCUCCCCAGUAGGUCCCCAGACACCCUUAACACAGCUAUCUGCAGGAUUGAAUGAUUGCCAGGACCACACAAUUUACACUUGGCUGUCGUGGUCGGGAGGGGAGGACUGCGCCAGCAUGAGAAGACCAGAGAGCAAGGAAAUGGAAAUUUGGCGAGAUCCUGUGGCUGCUAUUGGUGGCUGCAGCCAGACAGGAAAACUGAGAUGGUGUGAGCAGAAAGGGCUGGAAGGAGUUGGCUUUUUCCAAGAAAUUACAGCAGAAUCUUCUUCCAAGAGGCUGGGGGCCUCUGCAGACAUGAUCUCAUUACUCACGCCCCAGAUCCCCCCGGCUUCCCUAUGGA
rnacentral:lncRNA from 1 species